UGGGGAAUAUUGCACAAUGGGGGAAACCCUGAUGCAGCGACGCCGCGUGAGUGAAGAAGUAUUUCGGUAUGUAAAGCUCUAUCAGCAGGGAAGAAGAUGACGGUACCUGCACAAGAAGCUCCGGCUAACUACGUGCCAGCAGCCGCGGUAAUACGUAGGGGGCAAGCGUUAUCCGGAUUUACUGGGUGUAAAGGGAGCGUAGACGGAAGAUCAAGUCAGGUGUGAAAGGCAUGGGCUCAACUCAUGGACUGCACUUGAAACUGGUCAUCUCGAGUGUCGGAGGGGCAGGCGGAAUUCCUGGUGUAGCGGUGAAAUGCGUAGAUAUUAGGAGGAACACCGGUGGCGAAGGCGGCUUACUGGACGAUAACUGACGUUGAGGCUCGAAAGCGUGGGUAGCAAACAGG
rnacentral:rRNA from 2 species